rnacentral:tmRNA from 1 species
GCUCUUUUUUCGUCAACCUUGCGCGCCUAUAUUCAGUGGGCCGGCGCAAGCCGGCUAUGGCGAUAAACGGCCGUUGCAAUAAACCAUUCGGACCCGGGGGCAGUACCCGGCGGCUCCACCCAAGCCCGGCGAGCACGGGCUUCGGCGGGGCCGAACCAGGAUCGACGAGGGUGUAAAGAGCGCGCUUUUGCCCGUUAUGGUUCCGUCGUUAUCGGACCAUUCCAUAGUUGCCAACGACAACUAUGCUCCGGUUGCUCAGGCCGCGUAAUGCGGUUUGAAAGACCGAUUUAAAGCCCUGGCGGGUUAAGCUCCGUCAGGCGGGGUCCGGAGGCACCUGGCAACAGAAGCCUCCACU